AUUGAACGCUGGCGGCAGGCUUAACACAUGCAAGUCGAGCGGGGUGAUGGUGCUUGCACUAUCACUUAGCGGCGGACGGGUGAGUAAUGCCUAGGAAUCUGCCUAUUAGUGGGGGACAACAUCUCGAAAGGGAUGCUAAUACCGCAUACGGCUUACGGGAGAAAGCAGGGGAUCACUGGUGAACUUGCGCUAAUAGAUGAGCCUAAGUCGGAUUAGCUAGUUGGUGGGGUAAAGGCCUACCAAGGCGACGAUCUGUAGCGGGUCUGAGAGGAUGAUCCGCCACACGGGGACUGAGACACGGCCCCGACUCCUACGGGAGGCAGCAGUGGGGAAUAUUGGACAAUGGGGGGGACCCUGAUCCAGCCAUGCCGCGUGUGUGAAGAAGGCCUUAUGGUUGUAAAGCACUUUAAGCGAGGAGGAGACUCUUUUGGCUAAUACCCAAGAUGAGUGGACGUUACUCGCAGAAUAAGCACCGGCUAACUCUGUGCCAGCAGCCGCAGUAA
rnacentral:rRNA from 1 species